GAGAGUGAGCGGGAGAGCAAAAGAGAGAGUCACUGAUAUAGACAGAGUUGUAGGCUUAUGUGACCAGAAGAGAGAGAGACAGAGGAGGGAGAGGACACCUACACGCGUUCAGACGGAGUGGUUUGAGAGAUAAAGGAGGCUGUUACAUAUAAGAUCUAACACAAGACCUGCAGCCUCCCCAACACACAACACACCGUGCGCGUCUGCGCGGAAGGAGAACUGUUGCGCCCCCGGACUCGACACCAAUCCGCGGCCGCGGGGGAGUUUGUUCAGCGCGCCCCAAAUAUUCCAUUUAAUGACCAAGAUAACACAUUUGCUACUUCCUUGUUCAUCUACAGCCAGCCACUCGCAUUGGAUUAUAGCCUUAGUCUAACGCCGCCGGGUCGACUAUGGACGCGGUGCGCCAAACGAGCGCACGCAUCCAACAAGUGGACGCGCGGAGAGGAACAACACGGUGGAAUUAAACCCACGUCGAAUGGCUCAUAAUGCAAGCACGUUUCACGUUGACACGGACCACGACGGAGACGGCAGGGAAAAGCGCGGUGAUCGCUUGACAUGCUGAGAUCGUGUCGGUUGAAACGACGUCCGUAACGUCGAGCUCGACUGUAGUUUGUUGAGCGGCGCGCGACUUUAAAAACGCGCAGCCGAUCAGUCGGCAGCAGGCGGACAUUCGCACGAAAAUAUCGACGAGGCGGGAAGUUCCUUCGUUUGCGAGAUCGUUUUUGCGCGUUUCUGUAGAGCCUCACUUACUCCCUCCUGGCCACGUUCAACCAGUCUCCCUCUAACCAUGGACUAGUCCCUCUCUGACACGACUAAUCGGCAGCAGGGGACUGGGGAUAUUCUCUUCCAUUUCUAUAUGAAGGUAGCAGCCAAAGGUCGCCAUCAUGCCGAUGCAUCCAGUUACCUCCACUUUGAUGUAUCGGGGGAUCUGCACCAUCCCGGACAUCCUCUCCUACAGCGCUCCCGUCAACCUGCCUGAAGACGAGGUGGAAGAGAUCCGCGAGGCCUUCAAGGUGUUCGACCGGGACGGGAAUGGCUUCAUCUCCAAGCAGGAGCUGGGCAUGGCCAUGCGCUCGCUGGGCUACAUGCCCAACGAGGUGGAGCUUGAGGUCAUCAUCCAGAGGCUGGAUAUGGACGGAGACGGACAAGUUGACUUUGAAGAGUUUGUGACCCUCCUGGGACCCAAGCUGACAGCGGGAGGGCUGCCAGAUAAGUUCAACGGCACCGACUUUGAUUCGGUCUUCUGGAAGAGUGUGUCUUUGCCCUGCUAUUGCUCUAAAAUGGAAGUAUCCUUCUGGGAAGUAAUUGAAUGCGCCUGUGUGUGUAUGUACAUGUGUGCUUGCGAUCACAUGUGUGUCUGUGGAUCUGCAUGUGCGACCAUGAGUUCCCCCAGUGUGACAUGCAGAAGCUGACCGUGGAGGAGCUGAAGAGACUGCUGUACGACACGUUCUGCGACCACCUGACCAUGAAGGACAUCGAGAACAUCAUCAUGACGGAGGAGAACCACAUUCAGAACCCAGAGGACUGUCAGGUGGACAUCGACAGCUCCAGCCCGACGGUGAAGCAGACCUGCGUUCGGAAGAGUCUGAUCUGCGCCUUCGCAAUCGCCUUCAUCAUCAGCGUCAUGCUGAUCGCAGCCAAUCAGGUGCUCCGGAGCGGCAUGAAGUAGGACUCGAGAGCUGAGGAUUAUCCUGAACUCACUACAAAAAACAGCAACACAUGUGGAGAACAAAACACACAAAACAAAACCGACACGAAACUGUAGUGGUGAUGAUGCCCUCGGGUCUUCAGGAGAAGAUAUCGCUGCAGCGACUCGCUGACAACUUACAGAGCCCCUCAGAAUAUACUAUAUCCUCAUCGUCCUGUGAUACGUCCUCCAUGCGCUACCCAUUGUGGUGUUUGCGUGUGUGUUUGUGACAAAAUGUGAGUGCGUGGGUUUGGUUGUGUGUUUGGGUGCGCAUGUGUUUGUGUGUGCAUGAACGUGCCUGUGCGUAGGCUAUGUAUGUGGUUGUGUGUGUGUGUGUGUGUGUGUGUGUGUGUGUGUGUGUGAGUGUGUGCGCUCAUUUGUGUGCGAAUAUAAUUGUGUGUGCGUGCGGCCACCCAAGUACUGUGUAAAGUAAAGUCCGGUUGUCAACUGUGGAAAGCGAUGUGCCAAGUCUCCAGCUGUGCACGUGUCCCCUGCACCACAGUGGGGGGGUCCUGUCUCUGUAGAGUACGACGUGUGCAAUGUAUUACUAAACGUUCAGAUCCGGAUGACGUCAUUGAACCCAGGGAGUGUGGGGGGGGGGGGGGGG